AGUUGGAGAUGGGAAGAUGUGGCUAGUAGUGGGAUCCAGUUGGAGGUGGCGAAAAUAUUGGAAGAUUAUAUGCUGUGUGUGAUGGCUGAUGGGGUGGAAGGUUAGGACAAGGGUUACUCUGUCCUUGUUACGAAUGGGGAAGGGGGAGCAAGAGUGGAGCUGCGGGAUAUCGAGGAGACCCUAGUGAGAGCCUCAUCUAUAAUGGAAGAGGGGAAUCCCCGUUUCCUAAAGAACGCGGACAUCUCCAAUG